rnacentral:rRNA from 1 species
GAUGAACGCUGGCGGCGUGCCUAACACAUGCAAGUCGAGCGACCACACGAUGAGAUCGUGCUCUUGCCGGUAGCGACGGACGGGCGAGUAACACGUGCAUAACCUACUUAUUUUUCGGGGAUAAUUACGUGAAACCGGAGCCAAUACUGGCGAAUAUAUUCAACCGCAGGGUGCAAUAGUGAUUGACGGCUUUCGUGUCUCUUAUAGCUGGUUUCGCGUCGGAUUAGCUAGUUGGUAAGGUAACGGCUUACCAAGGCAACGAUGCGUAGCCGAGCUGAGAGGAUGAUCGGCCACACUGGAACUGAGACACGGUCCAGACUCCUACGGGAGGCAGCAGUAGGGAAUCUUGCGCAAUGGGCGAAAGCCUGACGGAGCAACACCGCGUGAGUGAUGAAGGUCUUCGGGUCGUAAAGCUCUGUUAUUGGGGAAGAAAAGAUGUAUGAGAAUCUCUGCACGUCUUGACGGUACCUAAACAAUAAGCAACGGCUAACUUCGUG